UACGGGGGGGGGUAAGCGUUGUUCGGAAUUACUGGGCGUAAAGGGCUCGUAGGCGGCCAACUAAGUCAGACGUGAAAUCCCUCAGCUUAACUGGGGAACUGCGUCUGAUACUGGAUGGCUUGGAUUCGGGAGAGGAAUGCGGAAUUCCAGGUGUAGCGGUGAAAUGCGUAGAUAUCUGGAGGAACACCGGUGGCGAAGGCGCAUCCUGGACCGACACUGACGCUGAGGAGCGAAAAGCCAGGGGGAGCAAACGGG
rnacentral:rRNA from 1 species